UUACACCGCUGACGGAUUA
rnacentral:snRNA from 1 species